rnacentral:rRNA from 1 species
UUCGGACUGCAGCCUGCAACUCGGCUGCACGAAGCCGGAAUCGCUAGUAAUCGCAGAUCAGCAUGCUGCGGUGAAUACGUUCCCGGGUCUUGUACACACCGCCCGUCACACCAUGGGAGUCAGUAACGCCCGAAGUCAGUGACCCAACCAAUCAGGAGGGAGCUGCCGAAGGUGGGACCGAUAACUGGGGUGAAGUCGUAACAAGGUAAC